GAUGAACGCUGGCGGCGUGCUUAACACAUGCAAGUCGAACGGAAAGGCCCUGCUUUUGUGGGGUGCACGAGUGGCGAACGGGUGAGUAACACACGAGUAUACCGCCCUUGACAUUGGGGUAAAAUUACGAAACUGGGGCUCAUAUCGGAUAGAAGCUCCUGCUCCACGUGGGGGGUUGGAGAGAGCCGGCGGUGUGGGCUCGACUCGCGGGUUACCCGCUUCAUGGGGGGGUAGUGGCUGACAAAGGCUUUGAAGGGUAGCCGGCCUGGGAGGGUGGACGGCCACCUUGGGACUGAGAGACGGCGCAGACUCUUACGGGACGCAGUAGGGGAGAAUAUUGCGCAACGAGCGCACGUCAGAUGCGACAACGCCGCGUGCGUGAUAACGGCCUUCGAGUGGUAAACCGAUUUCGCCGGUGAUAAAGCGUGAGUGACGGUACUGGGUAAAGAAGCACCGGCUAACUACGUG
rnacentral:rRNA from 1 species